UAUGAACCUUCAGACAAUCAGACACGAAAAUUAGAUGAUUGGCCACAUCUCAAAUUGUUACUGAAGCGACAGUAGCAGUCCAGUCUAACCAUUCUCAAAAUUUGGCCGCCUAACAUAAAUAUAUUUUAAACCGUAUUUUUAAGAACUUAUGUAUUUUGUAAAUUAAAGAAAAAAAAAAAAACCUUCCGUAUUUAUGUAAAUAUUUCCUAAUCCUAUUGGGCUUAUUAGGACUAGUAUCAUCGUAAGUUCAUAACCCUUGUUGAGUGCAGCUUGAAUUGGUGAAGACAUCAUGUCCCUCUGAUAGUUUUCUAUCAUUUUGCCUGUCUAAGUGAUAGUCAAUAUAAUACAGAAGCCAUUUUCGCACAGCAUUUCUUUGAUUUUUCAAAUUUGUUUCAUAUGUCACUGGUAGAGUACAAGUGAAAAGUUGAUUUACUCUGAGGACUCUUGAAGGGCAUCUGCAGGAGUAUGAAUAUGAAGAGGACUCUUGGCAUUUCUUGUUUCAUUAUGGAUAAGGACUUAGGGCAAUAUUUUGAUUGUAAAAGGCAUUGCUCCAUCAAAAGAUACUAGGAAGGUGGUGUAUCUGAAAUUCUGAUGUCGGUAUUGUGCUCAGAGGCAAUUAUGAUUAUGCCAUUAUGAAGGAUUGGAGGUCCUGGCUGGAGGAUAGUGAAUGAUCAGCUUGCAGAUUUGAUUAUUGAUUGAGAAGAAGGUGCUGAUACAGUACGUCUUAUUAUCAUCUGCUUCACUGACCUUAACAAAAACCUCUUGGGUUGUUCAACAUCUCUUGUGGACCUGUGGUUAUGUUUUGGGAUGAAUGUUUUCUGUGCCAAUGUUGAUUCUGCUUGGUGUUUUGUCCAAUGUAGCAUUUUGGGCAGAAGAAUAGCUUGCACCAAAGAUCAUGCUUUUGUUCUAAAGUGAUGAAUGCUAUAUGAAUUGCCUGCUAAAUGUCGAUAUCUAAAAAUUCAAAACUUAUGUUCCUGCUGUGUAUGGUUGGGGUUAGAAUUUUGGAUGCUUCAAGAUGUCUCUGCUUUGGGAUGAAUGUUGCAGACAUACUUAUACCUUGAUUUUUUUUUUCUUUUUUAUUUUAUUUUUCAUGAUAUAUGGAUACUCUUUCACUAAGUCUCCUCAAUGUGCCUUCUUGCUUCAAUGAAUGAUUGGGUCGGUUUGAUUUA